rnacentral:tRNA from 1 species
CUUGUAGCUCAGCUGGAUAGAGCAACUGCCUUCUAAGCAGUGGGUCGGGGGUUCGAGUCCCUCCAAG